AACAUUGUCAGCAUUAAGGCAAGUUGCAGUGUUCAACAAAAGGAAAUCCGAUAUUUGCGAGGGAUAAAAAAAAUUAAUACAAUUUAUUCCCAAUCAACUUAUUUUAAAGACGAAACAGUCAGUAGAAAACAAGCUCUCUUGAAAGAUACUUUGUAUCUGAUCAAAAGAGGUAAAUACUUAUAUAAUAUUGAAAAGUAUCAUUGUACUGUAUAAAGUUAUAUAAUAAGAACUUAAGAUAUUUAGCUAUAUAAUAUUGUAAACAUAAGUCGAGCAUUCUCUUGCUCGUUAGAUUUCUUAUAUUAUUCAGUUUCAGCAGCUUAAAAACAACAUCCUCUAUCUUUAAAACAACUUUUAAAAAAGAAGAAAAUUCUCUUUAUAUCUUUGCAUAGUAUCAUACAUGGAUUAUCAGGCAUGACAAUGAAUCUGAUAAUCGAUUAUAUUUCUACAUUGAAUCUAAAAAAAAAAUUAAAAAAAAUUCAUUUUACCCUUUACUACGUAGGGUCAUUUGUUUUUCCAGUCACAAUGGGUCUUUAAAUAAGCCAAAAUCAAGACAUUCUUCUUUUCUUUAAUGGUUAUGAAAGUCGAAGCACCAUGUACCGUUAUGUCUCAUUACAAUUAACUCUGCUUUAGUAGUGUCAAACAGUGUAAAUAAUUGAAAUAAAACGGUUUCUGCAUAACAUUGAAAGUAUAAACUGACAGCUUGCUUUUUCUCAAUUCCAUUAACAUGAUAU